GCACAGGCUGCCCAGAGAAGCUGUGGCUGCCCCAUCCUUGGCAGUGUUCAAGACCAGGUUGGAUGGGGCUUGGAGAAACCUGCUCUAGUGCAAGGUGUCCCUGCCCAUGGCAGGGGGUUGGAACUGGAUGAGCUUUAAGGUCCCUUCCAACCCAAGCCAUUCUAUGAGCUUUUAAGUCUCCCAAUGCAACUAUGAGACUAUUGAAUUGUAGCUCAGAUAUUUAUUUCUCCUUUGCUCUUUCAGUCCUUAGGUGUACAAUUUCUAAGGAUCAGUUCCUACGUUUAAAGAAUCAAAGGUAAUUUUUCUCCUUUUAGCAAAAAGAUUUCCAAAAUGUUGAUGCCUUCUGUGAGGUGUGGAAGAAUAACAGGAGGCUGGUGGUUCUGUUAUGUUGCCAUUAGCUUCGCUGCUCAGUAGCUGCACAUCAGCACAGUAAUCAUUUUCAGAUUUACAAGCAUUAAAUAUUUUAAUUUAAUGCCUUGGCUCUCUUGUAAUUCAUGCACUUAAUUAUAUGAUAAUUACUCAAAUGAAAGAGAUACAGCUGCUGUUGUAUCAAUUCUUCUAGGAAUCUGAGAUUUUGGAAUUGGCCUUUGAUUUCAGGGUGAGGGUUUUUCUGGCCCUUUCUAAAAGCUAGUGGGCACUUAAAGGUAAUUUUUUCAGUAUGUGGAACAGGUAAUGUUCAGGUAAUAAUUUCAGGUAAUGUUAACCUCCUAGCUUCUUUUCCUAGAGUGUAGCAUACACUUGGCAGCUGAGGGACUGGGCACCAUGCUGGCUGUUUUUACUGCUCCUUGUGGAUUACAGUCAUUAAAACAGAGGAGCUAAGUCAAACCUUCCACAUCAUAGGACCCUGCUCCAUUACAGAUGGCUGCAGAAGGAAGUAAAUGGCAGGAAAGAGGUGCAUGUUUGUGUACACAUGCACAUAACUGUAUAGAAUUCAAUACAUUCAUAAUGGGCCAGUUGGCCGGCCUGCAAGCACUGCACAAUGAAAUCACACAAUAAAUUAAAGUAUAAAGGUUCAACCAGGCCAAAUAGACCACCAACUGGAGCAAAAGGAUUUGGCAAAGGCAAACUCAAGUGACCUCAGCAGAGAAGAGUAAUUAACGCAUGGGGUGAGGAAGAAAAGAAGUUAGCAAAUACCGAAAAGGCAAAGUCAGCUCAAAGAAGGGGGCCCCUAGAAUCUGUGAAGGAUAAUGCUGCCAAAAUACAUGGAGGCCCCAUGAGGACCACGUAGCUGCCAGCCCAGGGCUGUGCAACCUUCUGUCUGGAAGGAGAGAUCCUUACUGGCAUCCUGCAGCAGGUGAUGCCUCAGAGUCCUGGUUUCUAUUUUCCAGCCUGCAGUAGCUUUGUGUAUUUAAAAUACACGGCAGUAGGCUUUUUCUUAGGAGAAGCAGUAAUUAGAAGAUGGUGGAAUAGGUCUUCUGAUUUUUACUGUUUUGGUUUUACUGUAUAUCUCCAGUGCUUGAAGGUAGAAAAUUAGCAUGGGAAUAUUCUUUGUUUAGGAGGUGUGCUUGUGAAAGUCUCCACAAAUUACUUAAGACCCUUGAAAACUGUUCCACAUGUUUGUGAAAGUCGCUCUGCAGGAGGGUUAGUACCACAUCCCUACAAGCCUCCGCUGGGCAGGGUCUGGCAAGAGGGCCACACUGAACAGCAGCCGUAUGAAAUUGCUUUUGCCCUGUAUGCACACUUGAACCCUUGUACGCUGAGCUCCUUACAGUGGAUCAGAAAAGGAGGAGCAUUUUCAGGCCUUGCAUAUGCAAAGGAAAUGUGCUUGUGGGAAGGUGGGAAGAGGCUGUUUCCCCAGGUGGGGCUGAUGGAGCACUCUCGGAUGGCUUUCUGCAGAGCUCCACAUCACACAUUUCAAUUUCUGGUUGUUUGCUGGUGUCCCAUCUUCUGGACCCAAGUUGAUUAAAAUGUUAACUGGGCCCUUGGUGCUUAUCCAUGGGGCCUGCCCCACUCAGAGUGCAGGGGAUCAUGGCAGCAGAGGGGCUAUUGCCAAGCCCCAGGUUCUGGGCAGCCAUGGAGGAACAUGCCUCAGUGACUUGCAGCCAGCACUGGCAGGUCAUAGCAGUGCCAUACUUCUCGAGGAGAGGAGGUGGUUCUUUGGUGCCUCUACUGAAAAACAGAAAAAGCAAGGGAAGUUUUAACAGUGACCACAGUGAAGUUUUUUAAAACAUGUUGCAGCCAUAUUUAAAGUUUUUGUUGGUGGUUGUUGACAUGUGAGAUUAUGCUUAAUCCCUCAGGGACUCAGGAUAUUUUGUAAGAAUUGGAAGUGUAAAUAUUUGGCAAUAGUUUCAUAUCCGUCCUCUCUGAGUCCCACUGGAAUAGAUGACGCCGUGUUACUGUACUGUGUGUAGUUUCUGUUGAUGGCAGUAGCAGAUUUAACACUUCUACACAGUUUCAUUUUACUUUAUGAGUACUUGAAGUUUGUCUUGUGUAUGUGAAGUAAUUGCUUUGCAGCAUGCUUUCUGGGAAGAGGUUGUAAUGUUUGUUCACUUUCGUAAAAGUUGUAAAUGAGAGACAGAGCAAACUUCAGGCCAAUCGCUCUUAAAAAUACACAGAGAUGUUUUUAAUUGCUAAAGGCAUCUAGCAUAAGGCAAAAAUAUUUAUUUGCCUGGCUUGCAGUCUGAUUGUCAGGCUUACAACAAGGCUAAGUCCAUUCAAACAGUUACUGGAAAUUGGUAUUUGAACUUGUGAACUCAGGAAAACUCCUAAUCUGCUCAGAGGUCUCUGACGUGCCCUCCAAGCCCCGCAGACUGUUUGUCUCGAGCUUUCCUUUAACUCUCCAGAGACCUUGGUGGCUGCUUUUCUGAGUUCCUUUCUAAAUGCAAGUUGCACCAAAAGGGUUACAAAAUUUUAAACCCUGUGUAUGCAGACAAUUUUCAGCUAGCUUACAGCAGCUGCGGAGUCGUGCUGGUAGAUUAAAAGCAGCUCCCAGCCCCAGAAUGAAGUAUAUUAGAGCUCCUGCUGAGCCAAGCUGGGGUGAGGCCUACACAGCUGUCAUUUAGGCCAAGUUUCCAACUGAAAACUGAAGAAAAGGAUGUAACUUAAAGAAAAGUUAUAUUUUAAAAUAAGGCAUCUGGUUAUUAAUUAAAUACAGGCAGGAGUUCAGUUGUGCAGUUCGUUUCAGCCUCAACAGCCUGAUACUUGGAAAAGUAGGGAGGUAAUUUUCAAGGAUCAAGAUGGGGCAUGUCCAGCCAAAGGAUGCUACUUGGUAGCACUGUAAAAAUAAUCCUUUCCUUCUGUACUUGUCUCUCUUCAUGAAAAAUGAACAGAAUGUGAGGAUUCUUGAACUGUUGCACAUCUGAGAGAGAGGCUGAUCAACUGCAGCAAUUGCUCUUUGCUGAUAUUGACCUUAAAGCAUAGCCAAUUCCCUGGGGAGUGUGCUUGUAUAAAUCUGCCGUUAGCAGAGAGUGUAUAAUGAAUGUCCAACUUGGCAGAAAGGAAAGGAUCAGAGUGGGAAGCAGUGUAUACCAUGAGGAUUUAUCAUGAUACCAUUGAAAACAAUAUGACAACUCUUGGGCACAUAUGUGCAUUUAGCCUCCAGUAGAGUCAAAUAAGUCACCUUGAAAUAACUACUGGACUAGUAAGACUUCCUGCUGUUUGAAGAACAACAUUAGUAAGUUAGUCCAGUGUUGGCAUAGAUUGUAUGAAGCACUUGUAAAGAGCUAAAUAUCUAAAUUCGUUAAAGUGGUAAAUAUUGAGCAUAAUUUUCUACUUGUGAUUUUGAAACCAGAGUGAUAAAUUUUCUUAGUACACGUAGUUGUAACAGAUGCAAAUUUUCUUGGUAGAAAAAUUAAAUUAUAUAUAGUGCAAUUAAAAUGCAUUAUAGGCCUGAACCACAGAAUAUAUCACAAUUAGUGGAAAUGAAGCUUGCUAGCAUUCUGUUGCUCUUCUAGAAAGGAGCAUUGUACUAUAUUAUCAGCAAUAAUAACAACAACAAAGCAGCCUAACAAAAGAAUUCAUUUUUAGCAGCUGUUACACGAAGUAACAGCUUGAAUUCUUACAGAUCUUUCUUUCACUCAGUUUAGCAAUGAUAUACUGUAAUAUGCAUCACUGUGAGAUUUUAUAUUGCUGUUAACUUGUUCCUGCCAUUAAACAAUUCCUAACAUAGGCAG